CGUGUAGGCGGCCAUGCAAGUCUGGUGUGAAAGCCCUCGGCUUAACCGAGGAAGUGCGCCCGAAACUACAUGGCUUGAGUACCGGAGAGGGUGGCGGAAUUCCCGGUGUAGAGGUGAAAUUCGUAGAUAUCGGGAGGAACACCAGCGGCGAAGGCGGCCACCUGGACAGAUACUGACGCUGAGACGCGAAAGCGUGGGGAGCAAACA
rnacentral:rRNA from 1 species